rfam:Chlorocebus sabaeus isolate 1994-021 chromosome 21, whole genome shotgun sequence.
GCUGGGCGAGGCGGCGGGCGCCUGUAGUCCCAGCUACUCGGGAGGCUGAGGCAGGAGAAUGGCGGGAACCCGGGGGGCGGAGCUUGCAGUGAGCCGAGAUCCGGCCACUGCACUCCAGCCCGGGCCUUGCCUGCGCACCUUAAGGUACAGCUGCGCGAUUCCGCACUGCUGCCUGAGAACUGGAUUGCCUUUUGUGACCUCUUUUUUUUUUUUUGAGACGGAGUCUCGCUCUGUCGCCCAGGCUGGAGUGCAGUGGCCGGAUCUCAGCUCACUGCAAGCUCCGCCUCCCGGGUUCAGGCCAUUCUCCUGCCUCAG